rnacentral:rRNA from 1 species
GGAGUUUGAUCCUGGCUCAGAUUGAACGCUGGCGGCAUGCCUUACACAUGCAAGUCGAACGGUAACAGGGAGCUUGCUCCGCUGACGAGUGGCGAACGGGUGAGUAAUAUAUCGGAACGUACCAUUCAGUGGGGGAUAACGUAGCGAAAGUUACGCUAAUACCGCAUAUUCUGUGAGCAGGAAAGCAGGGGAUCGCAAGACCUUGCGCUGAUUGAGCGGCCGAUAUCAGAUUAGCUUGUUGGUGAGGUAAAAGCUCACCAAGGCGACGAUCUGUAGCGGGUCUGAGAGGAUGAUCCGCCACACUGGAACUGAGACACGGUCCAGACUCCUACGGGAGGCAGCAGUGGGGAAUUUUGGACAAUGGGGGCAACCCUGAUCCAGCCAUGCCGCGUGAGUGAAGAAGGCCUUCGGGUUGUAAAGCUCUUUCAGCCGGGAAGAAAACGCAUGGGUUAAUACCCUGUGUGGAUGACGGUACCGGAAUAAGAAGCACCGGCUAACUACGUGCCAGCAGCCGCGGUAAUACGUAGGGUGCGAGCGUUAAUCGGAAUUACUGGGCGUAAGCGUGCGCAGGCGGUUUUGUAAGACAGGCGUGAAAUCCCCGGGCUUAACCUGGGAACUGCGUUUGUGACUGCAAGGCUAGAGUACGGCAGAGGGGGGUGGAAUUCCACGUGUAGCAGUGAAAUGCGUAGAGAUGUGGAGGAACACCAAUGGCGAAGGCAGCCCCCUGGGUCGAUACUGACGCUCAUGCACGAAAGCGUGGGUAGCAAACAGGAUUAGAUACCCUGGUAGUCCACGCCCUAAACGAUGUCAACUAGGUGUUGGGAGGGUAAAACCUUUUAGUACCGGAGCUAACGCGUGAAGUUGACCGCCUGGGGAGUACGGCCGCAAGGCUAAAACUCAAAGGAAUUGACGGGGACCCGCACAAGCGGUGGAUGAUGUGGAUUAAUUCGAUGCAACGCGAAAAACCUUACCUACCCUUGACAUGCCAAGAACUUUCCAGAGAUGGAUUGGUGCCCGAAAGGGAACUUGGACACAGGUGCUGCAUGGCUGUCGUCAGCUCGUAUCGUGAGAUGUUGGGUUAAGUCCCGCAACGAGCGCAACCCUUGUCGUUAAUUGCCAUCAUUUAGUUGGGCACUUUAACGAGACUGCCGGUGACAAACCGGAGGAAGGUGGGGAUGACGUCAAGUCCUCAUGGCCCUUAUGGGUAGGGCUUCACACGUCAUACAAUGGUCGGUACAAAGGGUCGCCAAGCCGCGAGGUGGAGCCAAUCCCAGAAAGCCGAUCGUAGUCCGGAUCGCAGUCUGCAACUCGACUGCGUGAAGUCGGAAUCGCUAGUAAUCGUGGAUC